rnacentral:rRNA from 1 species
AAAUUGAAGAGUUUGAUCAUGGCUCAGAUUGAACGCUGGCGGCAGGCCUAACACAUGCAAGUCGAACGGUAACAGGAAGCAGCUUGCUGCUUCGCUGACGAGUGGCGGACGGGUGAGUAAUGUCUGGGAAACUGCCUGAUGGAGGGGGGUAACUACUGGAAACGGUAGCUAAUACCGCAUAACGUCGCAAGACCAAAGAGGGGGACCUUCGGGCCUCUUGCCAUCGGAUGUGCCCAGAUGGGAUUAGCUAGUAGGUGGGGUAACGGCUCACCUAGGCGACGAUCCCUAGCUGGUCUGAGAGGAUGACCAGCCACACUGGAACUGAGACACGGUCCAGACUCCUACGGGAGGCAGCAGUGGGGAAUAUUGCACAAUGGGCGCAAGCCUGAUGCAGCCAUGCCGCGUGUAUGAAGAAGGCCUUCGGGUUGUAAAGUACUUUCAGCGGGGAGGAAGGGAGUAAAGUUAAUACCUUU